AUUUUCAUGUGGUUGUCAUUGAUUUAGGCCAAAAAAUUAUUAGGUCCCUAAGAAACUAAUUGGUGGAUUAGAAAAGAAAUAAGCUUCAAGUAUUUACAUUGAUGUGGUUAAGGACAUAUGUCAGACUAGAAACCAUGGUUGAAAAUUGCUAAGGGUAACUAAAAUAAGAACAUACCACAUCUUAGACUUCACUGAGGAUUACAUUAGGUACUUUUACAUAUGACAGACAUAUGAGUUUAUUAAACUUAAGAUAUCCAAGGUAAAAGUCUUUUGAUGCAUAUUUUACGAAUUUAGGAUACUAUAAAAGGGAUAAUUUAGUUGUAGAAAGGCGUUGAGGAGUUCUAGAAUCUAAAGGGGUACCAAAUAGCAAGAUAAAAAGAUGUGAUGCAACUUUAUUAGCAUGACCAUGUGAAGAACUGAUAAUGUAGAGCAUUACUGGCCUAGAAAUCUUGGGAGUAACCAUUUUCCUUUGCAAAUCUAAAUUUGGAUCUGAGUAACAAUUUUCAUUAACAUUGAAUGGUUUUCAUUUAAACUCUAUGUGAAUACAAAUUUAUUUUCAUUAACUAUUGUGCCUUCAAUAAAUGUAUUCUCCUUCCAACUUCCCACCAACAUUCACUUUCAUUUAAAGUCUCAAAUAGAACUAUUUUUGGUUAAUCCCGUCCUUGAGAAGAUCCUUUGCCUAAUUUCUUCUUUUUUCCAUUGUCAAUUUAAAGGUUAGUGCUAAUCAAAUACAGUUGAUUGUUAAUCCAUGCUUUAGUUCUAAUCAAUGUCUUAGCAUGAGGCUAAAUUGUGUUAAUCAAUGCUUGAAUGUAGCCUAUUCCUUGCUUUUUUCAAACUUCUCAAUGCUUCGCGCACAACAAAUCAGGUAAAAAAAUGGCACUGGCUCUAAAUCUUAGCCUCUUUCUGUUAUUUUCUAUGGGCAUUAAACAAUUACAUGUCAAAGCACUUCUGAAAUUGACGUAUAGUUCCAUUUUUUCUACAUUGUAUAGUAUACAUAUUGACAUCCACUUACAGUUUCACUUAAUUUUUAUGGAGUUAUAGGUUAUGAAAGUUGAUAUAAUUAGUUUCUGUACCUAUAGAAGCUAUAUGUUAUGCAAUUGUUUUCCCUAAUUUUCAUUUGUUAUCGAGUGUUUGAUAUUUAAUAAUAUUUCAUCAAAGGAUGCAUUGCUUUCUGACAUUUUUUCCAUUUUAUAUUUAGUUGACUUAUUGCCUUUUUUUGAUCAAUUGUAGGUUGAAGAUUCCUUGAUCCUAACAAAACUCAAUUUAUCCUCUCUCCCUCUUUAAUCUCCUCUCAAGUCUAUUGUUCUACUUUAUUAUCAAAUUGUUUUUCCUUAUUUGCAUUUGUUAACAACUAUCUAUAUAACUGAUAACUUAUUCAUUAUACAUGCAGGAAUACUCAUAGUGAGCAUAACUUGCAAUUGUUGACGGCAUCUGUCUCUUUCUCUGAUACUCAACCAGAAACAAUAAAGGCUUCACAAACACCACUUUAUGAAGUUGUAUUGCAUAUUAACAUUAGUGAGUUAUCUAUUUAAUAAAUGAUAACACCAUCUUCUGCAAUUAUAGGACUACUUUUUCAUAUGAAAUGUUGAACUAGAUUGGCGUUAUGUUGGAUGUCGAGAUUGUGCAAAAAAAAAAACAAUCAACUUCAGGACAAGUCUGUUGCAAAUCAUGUAAUAGGGAAGUAGUGCCUCAAAUCAGGUUGAAGAUUCCUUGAUCCUAACAAAACUCAAUUUAUUAGGAAAUGCAAUGAUGCAAGCAACAUGACGCAUUUUAUGUAAUGACAGGAAGGCAUUCGUUUUGUAUUGUCUUUCUGUGAACAAUGAUACUGCCUUUAUUUUGUUUUUUCCAGCC